GACGAACGCUGGCGGCGUGCCUAAUACAUGCAAGUAGAACGCACAGUUUAUACCGUAGCUUGCUACACCAUAAACUGUGAGUUGCGAACGGGUGAGUAACGCGUAGGUAACCUGCCUGGUAGCGGGGGAUAACUAUUGGAAACGAUAGCUAAUACCGCAUAAUAUUAAUUAUUGCAUGAUAAUUGAUUGAAAGAUGCAAUUGCAUCACUACCAGAUGGACCUGCGUUGUAUUAGCUAGUAGGUGAGGUAACGGCUCACCUAGGCGACGAUACAUAGCCGACCUGAGAGGGUGAUCGGCCACACUGGGACUGAGACACGGCCCAGACUCCUACGGGAGGCAGCAGUAGGGAAUCUUCGGCAAUGGACGAAAGUCUGACCGAGCAACGCCGCGUGAGUGAAGAAGGUUUUCGGAUCGUAAAGCUCGGUUGUAAGAGAAGAACGGGUGUGAGAGUGGAAAGUUCACACUGUGACGGUAUCUGACCAGAAAGGGACGGCUAACUACGUG
rnacentral:rRNA from 1 species